UAAAGGAAUUGGCGGGGGAGCACCACAAGGGGUGAAGCCUGCGGUUCAAUUGGAGUCAACGCCAGAAAUCUUACCCGGAGAGACAGCAGAAUGAAGGUCAAGCUGAAGACUUUACCAGACAAGCUGAGAGGUGGUGCAUGGCCGUCGCCAGCUCGUGCCGUGAGAUGUCCUGUUAAGUCAGGUAACGAGCGAGAUCCCUGCCACUAGUUGCUAUCAUUAUUCUCAGGAAUAGUGGGGCGAAUUAGUGGGACUGCCGUUGUUAAAACGGAGGAAGGAAGGGGCUACGGCAGGUCAGUAUGCCCCGAAACUCUGGGGCCACACGCGGGCUGCAAUGGUAGUGACAAUGAGUUCCAAACUCGAAAGAGAGUGGCAAUCUCUAAACGCUACCACAGUUAUGACUGAGGGCUGUAACUCGCCCUCACGAAUAUGGAAUCCCUAGUAACCGCGUGUCAUUACCGCGCGGUGAAUACGUCCCUGCUCCUUGCACACCCCGCCA
rnacentral:rRNA from 1 species